rnacentral:lncRNA from 1 species
GUGCUGUAAAUUUUGUGUUUUCUAACCGUAGAGAUUAUGUGAUAUGCGACCCAACUGACCUAUAGUGUGCAUGUUCGUUUUCCUCUUUUUUGCCAUUUUUUCUUGUGUUUAUUCUUUGCUUAGAAUUGAAUGUGUUUUGACACGUGUUGCAUUUUCUCAGUUCCUACGUAGUACCAAGAGCACGGUGCAUAUCGAAAGCAAACUGAUCAUUUGUCCAGGAUGUUAUUUUGUGAUUUAUUUUCAUCAUUUCGUACAAAGUUAAAGAUGCGUCACGUAGUGUGUAU